rnacentral:rRNA from 1 species
GACGAACGCUGGCGGCGUGCUUAACACAUGCAAGUCGAACGGAAAGGCCUGCUUUCCCUUGUGGAUUGCGGGUACUCGAGUGGCGAACGGGUGAGUAACACGUGAGUGAUCUGCCCCCAACUUGGGUAUAAGCCUGGGAAACUGGGUCUAAUUCCCGAUAGGACUGCAGGGUGGUGCCUGUGGUGGAAAACGAUUUUCUAGUGGUUGGGGAUGAGCUCGCGGCCUAUCAGCUUGUUGGUGGGGUAAUGGCCUACCAAGGCGGCGACGGGUAGCCGGCCUGAGAGGGUGGACGGCCACAUUGGGACGGAGAUACGGCCCAGACUCCUACGGGAGGCAGCAGUGGGGAAUAUUGCACAAUGGGCGGAAGCCUGAUGCAGCGACGCAGCGUGGGGGAUGACGGCCUUCGGGUUGUAAACUCCUUUCGACCGCGAGGAAGCCACCUGGUUGGAAGGGUGGUGACGGUAGUGGUAGAAGAAGCACCGGCUAACUACGUG